UGUCGAUGAAGAGCGCAGCCAACUGUGUGAAUUAAUGUGAACUGCAUAUUGCUUUGAACAUCGACAUCUUGAACGCAUAUUGCGGCCAUGGGUUAACCUGUGGCCACGCCUGUCCGAGGGUCG
rnacentral:rRNA from 1 species